rnacentral:rRNA from 1 species
AUUGAACGCUGGCGGCAGGCCUAACACAUGCAAGUCGAGCGGAUGAAGGGAGCUUGCUCCUGGAUUCAGCGGCGGACGGGUGAGUAAUGUCUAGGAAUCUGCCUGGUAGUGGGGGAUAACGUCCGGAAACGGGCGCUAAUACCACAUACGUCCUGAGGGAGAAAGUGGGGGAUCUUCGGACCUCACGCUAUCAGAUGAGCCUAGGUCGGAUUAGCUAGUUGGUGGGGUAAAGGCCUACCAAGGCGACGAUCCGUAACUGGUCUGAGAGGAUGAUCAGUCACACUGGAACUGAGACACGGUCCAGACUCCUACGGGAGGCAGCAGUGGGGAAUAUUGGACAAUGGGCGAAAGCCUGAUCCAGCCAUGCCGCGUGUGUGAAGAAGGUCUUCGGAUUGUAAAGCACUUUAAGUUGGGAGGAAGGGUAGUAAGUUAAUACCUUGCUGUUUUGACGUUACCAACAGAAUAAGCACCGGCUAACUUCGUG